rnacentral:rRNA from 1 species
GAUGAACGCUGGCGGCGUGCCUAAUACAUGCAAGUCGAGCGAACAGACGAGGAGCUUGCUCCUCUGACGUUAGCGGCGGACGGGUGAGUAACACGUGGAUAACCUACCUAUAAGACUGGGAUAACUUCGGGAAACCGGAGCUAAUACCGGAUAACAUGUUGAACCGCAUGGUUCAACAGUGAAAGACGGUCUUGCUGUCACUUAUAGAUGGAUCCGCGCCGCAUUAGCUAGUUGUUAAGGUAACGGCUUACCAAGGCAACGAUGCGUAGCCGACCUGAGCGGGUGAUCGGCCACACUGGAAGUGAGACACGGUCCAGGCUCCUACGGGAGGCAGCAGUAGGGAAUCUUCCGCAAUGGGGGAAAGCCUGACGGAGCAAGGCCGCGUGAGUGAAGAAGGUCUUCGGAUCGUAAAACUCUGUUAUUAGGGAAAAACAAAUGUGUAAGUAACUAUGCACGUCUUGACGGUACCUAAUCAGAAAGCAACGGCUAACUACGUG